UCCUCCUCCUCCUCCUCCUCCUCCAUUCCCAGCCUCAUUGUCUGCCUCAAUUCAACUUUGACUAAUAUGGAUUCCGCGGGCCGGGGGCCGAGCCGGGGCCGGAGCCGGGGCCACGCCGUGCGAGCGCGCACACUCACACACUCACACACACACACACAAACACACACAGGGACACACAGAGACAGAGACACACACACACAGGGGCACACACAGAGACAGACAGACACACACACACACACACAGGGAUACACACAGACACACAGAAACACACAGGGACACACACACAGAGACAGACACACACACACACAGGGGCACACACACACCAGAGAGACACACACAGAGACAGACACACACACACACAGGGGCACACACACACAGAGAGACACACACAGGGACACACACACAGACAGAGACACACACACACAGACACACACACACACAGACACACAGGGACACAUACACACACACAGGGAUAUAUACACACACUCACGCACAUAGACACACACACAGGGGCACACAGAGACACACACAGGGAUACACACACACGGGCACACACAUAGGAUACACACACAGGGAUACAUACACGCACACAGGGGCACACACAGGGGCACACACAGGGAUAUAUACAUACAGGGAUACACACACACGGACACACACAGGAUACACACACAGGGAUACACACAGGGGCACACACACAGGGAGGGAUACACACAGGGAUGCAUACACACACAGGGGCACACACAGGGAUACACACAGGGGCACACACAGGGAUACACACACACAGGCAUACACACAGGGAUACACACACACAGGGAUACACACAGGGAUACACACACACAGGGAUACACACACACACAGGGGCACACACAGGGAUACACACAGGGAUACACACACACAGGGAUACACACAGGGAUACACACACACAGGGAUACACACAGGGAUACACACACACAGGGAUACACACACACACAGGGGCACACACAGGGAUACACACAGGGAUACACACACACACAGGGGCACACACAGGGAUAUACACACACAGGGAUAUACACACAGGGAUACACACACACAGGGAUAUACACACAGGGAUACACACAGGGAUACACACACACAGGGGCACACACACAGGGAUAUACACACACAAGGGCAGACACAACAGGGGGCACACACUCACACAGGGGCACAAGGACACACACAGGGUUACACACUAACAGGGGCACAGGGACACCCACAAGCGCACACACAGACACACACUGAGGCAGUCACAGGCACACUGAGGCACACGCACGGGCGCACUCGCAGUCACACGCACACGCACGCACGCACGCACGCACACGCAGACAGACAGACACACACACACACACACACACACACACUCACGGCACACUUGACACUCGCCACACUCACAAAUGCAAUCACACGCUCGCACUCGCACGCUCGCACUCACGCCCCGGCGCCCCGGCUCCCCCGACUUCAACGAGGCUGGCUCCUCGCGGGAGGGGGAGGGGGCACGGCUGCGCGCUGGCUGGCUGGCUGGCCGGCGGCUGGGCCGUCUACACCGCGGCCGAGGCCGAGGCCGAGUCCCACACCCGGCCCGCCCCGCCCCCCGCCCGGCCCCGGCCCCGGCCCGGCC
rnacentral:lncRNA from 1 species